rnacentral:rRNA from 1 species
UACGGAGGUGGCAAGCGUUGCUCGGAAUCACUGGGCGUAAAGGGCGCGUAGGCGGGGAGGUAAGUCGGGUGUGAAAUCCCUCGGCUCAACUGAGGAACUGCACAGGAAACUGCUUGGCUUGAGUUCGGGAGAGGGAAGCGGAAUUCCGGGUGUAGCGGUGAAAUGCGUAGAUAUCCGGAGGAACACCGGUGGCGAAGGCGGCUUCCUGGACCGACACUGACGCUGAGGCGCGAAAGCUAGGGGAGCAAACGGG